rnacentral:rRNA from 1 species
UACGUAGGGAGCAAGCGUUGUCCGGAUUUACUGGGUGUAAAGGGCGCGUAGGCGGGAUCGCAAGUCAGAUGUGAAAUCUAGGGGCUUAACCCCUAAACUGCAUUUGAAACUGCGGUUCUUGAGUGAUGGAGAGGCAGGCGGAAUUCCUAGUGUAGCGGUGAAAUGCGUAGAUAUCGGGAGGAACACCAGUGGCGAAGGCGACUUCCUGGCACAAUACUGACGCUCAUGUGCGAAAGCUAGGGUAGCGAACGGGAUUAGAUA